UACGGAGAGUGCAAACGUUGUUCGGAUUCACUGGGCGUAAAGGGCACGUAGGCGGCGCGGGAAGUCCGUGGUGAAAGCCCGAGGCUCAACUUCGGGUCGGCCAUGGAUACUCCUGGGCUUGAGCACUGUAGAGGCAGGUGGAAUUCCGGGUGUAGCGGUGGAAUGCGUAGAUAUCGGGAGGAAUACCGAUGGCGAAGGCAGGUCUCUGGGCUGACACUGACGCUCAUGCACGAAAGCGUGGGGAGCAAACAGG
rnacentral:rRNA from 1 species